GUUUCCACAGGAUUGUUCUCCCAGGCUGGCAGCGGGACCCCAGCGGCACCAUGUCUGCCCUCGGAGUCAGCGUGGCCCUGUUGGUGUGGGUGGCCGUCCUCCUGCUGGUGUCCAUCUGGAGGCAGGUGCACAGCAGCUGGAAUCUGCCCCCAGGCCCUUUCCCACUUCCCAUCAUCGGGAACCUCUUCCAGUUGGAAUGGAAGAAUAUUCCCAAGUCCUUCACCCGGCUGGCCCAGCGCUUCGGGCCGGUGUUCACGCUGUACGUGGGCUCGCGGCGCGUGGUGGUUGUGCACGGCUACAAGGCGGUGAGGGAAGUGCUGCUGGACCACAAGGACGAGUUCUCGGGCAGAGGCGACAUCCCCGCGUUCCACGCGCACAGGGACAGGGGAAUUAUUUUCAAUAACAGACCUACCUGGAAGGACAUCCGGCGGUUUUCCCUGACCACCCUCCGGAACUAUGGGAUGGGGAAACAGGGCAACGAGAGCCGGAUCCAGUGGGAGGCCCACUUCCUGCUGGAAGCGCUCAGGAAGACCCAAGGUGCGCCAGCCUUUCGACCCACCUUCCUCAUCGGCUGCUCACCCUGCAACGUCAUAGCUGACAUCCUCUUCCGCAAGCAUUUUGACUACAAUGAUGAGAAGUUUGUGAGACUGUUGUAUUUGUUUUAAUGAGAACUUCCAGCUGCUCAGCACUCCCUGGCUCCAGGUGAACCUUUACAUAAAUUUCCCCAGCUUAUUACACUACUUGCCUGGAAGCCAUAGAAAAUUCAUAAAAAAUGUGGCUGAAAUAAAGAGUAUGUGUCUGAAAGGGGUGAAGGAGCACCUUCAAUCUCUGGACCCAACUGCCCCGGGAUCUCACCGACUGCCUGCUUGUGGAAAUGGAGAAGGAAAAGCACAGUGCAGAGCGCUUGUACACAAUGGACGGUAUCACCGUGACUGUGGCCGACCUGUUCUUUGCGGGGACAGAGACCACCAGCACCACUCUGAGAUAUGGGCUCCUGAUUCUCAUGAAAUACCCUGAGAUCGAAGGUAGGCAAGUGACUGGAGGGACACUGUGCGUGCGGAUGCAUCUCCCUGGAUGGCCAGCCUUGCGCGUUUUAGGCUGCAGCUUUCUGUUUGAAGCUCUUUGUUAACCCUCACGGUGAUGUGGUGAGAUGGCUGGAUGCACUGCUUUGAGGGGAGAUGUUACUGUCUGUGCUGGACACCUGGUACUCUUGUACACUAGUUGGUCCAUACCCCA